UACAGAGGGUGCGAGCGUUAAUCGGAAUUACUGGGCGUAAAGCGUGCGUAGACGGUUGCGUAAGUCGGAUGUGAAAUCCCCGGGCUCAACCUGGGAAUUGCAUUCGAGACUGCGUAGCUGGGGUGCGGAAGAGGGAAGCGGAAUUUCCGGUGUAGCGGUGAAAUGCGCAGAUAUCAGGAGGAACACCGAUGGCGAAGGCAGGUCUCUGGGCCAUUACUGACACUGAGAAGCGAAAGCAUGGGGAGCGAACAGG
rnacentral:rRNA from 1 species